CGCCUUGCCAGCCCGCUCAGAAACUCAAAGGAAUUGACGGGGGCCCGCACAAGCGGCGGAGCAUGUGGAUUUAAUUCGAUGCAACGCGAAGAACCUUACCUGGGCUUGACAUACACCGGAUCGGGCUAGGGAUAGUCUUUCCCUUGUGGCUGGUGUACAGGUGGUGCAUGGUUGUCGUCAGCUCGUGUCGUGAGAUGUUGGGUUAAGUCCCAUAACGAGCGCAACCCCUACCUUUAGUUGCCAUCAGGUAAUGCUGGGGACUCUAAAGGAACUGCCUACGCAAGUAGUGAGGAAGGCGGGGAUGACGUCAAGUCAGCAUGGCCCUUACGUCCGGGGCUACACACGUGCUACAAUGGCCGGUACAAAGGGUAGCGACACUGCGAGGUGAAGCCAAUCCCGUAAAAUCGGUCUCAGUCCGGAUUGGAGUCUGCAACUCGACUCCAUGAAGUUGGAAUCGCUAGUAAUCGUGGAUCAGCAUGCCACGGUGAAUACGUUCCCGGGCCUU
rnacentral:rRNA from 1 species